UAGUUGUUGGGUCUUUAUUCCUCUGGGCCAGGUUUCAGACCUGCUGUCAACCAAAGAUAUGCUGCAGAGAAGGUGCUGGAAAGUGAAGCAUGAGGGGGCUGUGUACGUUUUGGUACACCCCACGCCUAAGGUAUCUCUCCCCUGCACAGCUCUGCCUUCCACAGAGGCAGUCUCAUCCUACAGUUUCCAGACUUGGUGUGGCUGAGCCCCCAAGGAAACUCCCCACAUGGAUCACACUGGAUCUGUGUACCCUUGCUGUACUCAGCUCACUGCUCUUCCUUCUGGAGGCUGAAGCAAAAUUUGGGUGAAGGACAUCAGAUCUCCCACCUUAACAGAAACAGCUGCUAAGAUGUUAAGUUGGAAAUACCUUUCCAACUGAUACCAAAGAGAAAAACACAGCCAAGGCAGUCAGGAGAAGCAGUAUUAAACACAGCAAAUUGAA